AUUGAACGCUGGCGGCAUGCCUUACACAUGCAAGUCGAACGGCAGCACGGGAGCAAUCCUGGUGGCGAGUGGCGAACGGGUGAGUAACAUAUCGGAACGUGCCCAGUAGUGGGGGAUAGCCCGGCGAAAGCCGGAUUAAUACCGCAUACGACCUGCGGGUGAAAGCGGGGGAUCGCAAGACCUCGCGCUAUUGGAGCGGCCGAUAUCAGAUUAGCUAGUUGGUGGGGUAAAAGCCUACCAAGGCGACGAUCUGUAGCUGGUCUGAGAGGACGAGCAGCCACACGGGGACUGAGAAACGGCCGAGACUCCGACGGGACGCAGCCGUGGGGAAUUUUGCACAAUCGGCGCAAGCCUGAUUCAGCCAUGCCGCGUGCGGGAAGAAGGCCUUCGGGUUCUAAACCGCUGUUGUCAGGGAAGAAACGGUCCGCGCUAUUACCGCGGGCUAAUGACGGUACCUGAAGAAUAAGCACCGGCUAACUACGUGCCAGCCGCCGCGGUAAGAC
rnacentral:rRNA from 1 species